rnacentral:misc_RNA from 1 species
UGCCUGCCUCACAAUGUAAGCACCGCUGCGGUCAACCUUGGUUGGGUCCUUGCCGGAGAAUGCACCACCACCGUGGGCUCCCCAACCACCAUAAGUAUCAAUGAUAAUCUUGCGCCCGGUGAGGCCAGCGUCACCAUGUGGCCCGCCAAUAACAAAGCGACCAGAUGGAUUGAGGUGGAAAAUGGUCUUCUCGUCGAGGUACUGCUCUGGGACAACCGGCUUGAUCACAUGCUGCUUGAGGUCAGCUGCGAUUUCAUCGUUGGUCACGGUCUCAUCAUGCUGGGUGGAGAUAAGAACGGUGUGGACACGGAUCGGAACCAUGGCACCGUGAUCAUUGCGGUACUCGACUGUGACCUGGGUCUUGCCGUCAGGGCGCAACCACGGGCAAGUGCCAUUCUUGCGGACCUCGGUGAGGCGAGCACCAAUCUUGGUGGCGAGGACAUGGCUGAGGGGCAUCAGCUCGGGGGUCUCAUCGGUGGCAUAGCCGAACAUGUGACCCUGGUCACCAGCACCAAUUUCCUCGGGGCGCUUGGUGAAGUGCCCGUGGACGCCCUGGGCGAUGUCAGGGGAUUGCUGCUCGAUGUUGACAAGGACCUUGCAGUUGUCGGCAUCUAAGCCGACAUCAUCGGACACAAAUCCGAUAGCACGGCAUGUGUCACGAACAAUCUUCUCGUAGUCAAUGGUAGCCUUUGUGGUGAUCUCACCGAAGACCAUAACCAUGUUGGUCUUGGUACAGGUCUCGCAGGCCACCUUGCUGUCGGGGUCUUGCGCGAGGCAAGCAUCAAGCACGGCAUCGGAGACUUGGUCGCAAAGCUUGUCCGGGUGGCCCUCGUUC